rnacentral:rRNA from 1 species
GAGAUCAUACCAGCACUAAUGCAUUGGAUCCCAUCAGAAUUCCGAAGUUAAGUGUGCUUGGGCGAGAGCAAUACUAGGAUGGGUGACUCCUUGGGAAGUCCUCGUGUUGCGCCU